rnacentral:rRNA from 1 species
UACAGGGGGGGCAAGCGUUGUUCGGAAUUACUGGGCGUAAAGGGCCAGUAGGCGGCCAACUAAGUCCGACGUGAAAUCCCCAAGCUUAACUUGGGAACUGCGUCGGAUACUGGAUGGCUUGAAUUCGGGAGAGGGAUGCAGAAUUCCAGGUGUAGCGGUGAAAUGCGUAGAGAUCGGGAGGAACACCAGAGGCGAAGGCGGCGACCUGGACAAGUACUGACACUCAACUACGAAAGCGUGGGGAGCAAACAGG